CUACGUGCCAGCAGCCGCGGUAAUACGUAGGUGGCAGGCGUUGUCCGGAAUUAUUGGGCGUAAAGCGCGCGCAGGCGGAUCAGUUAGUCUGUCUUAAAAGUUCGGGGCUUAACCCCGUGAUGGGAUGGAAACUGCUGAUCUAGAGUAUCGGAGAGGAAAGUGGAAUUCCUAGUGUAGCGGUGAAAUGCGUAGAUAUUAGGAAGAACACCAGUGGCGAAGGCGACUUUCUGGACGAAAACUGACGCUGAGGCGCGAAAGCCAGGGGAGCGAACGGGAUUAGAUACCCCGGUAGUCCUGGCCGUAAACGAUGGGUACUAGGUGUAGGAGGUAUCGACCCCUUCUGUGCCGGAGUUAACGCAAUAAGUACCCCGCCUGGGGAGUACGACCGCAAGGUUGAAACUCAAAGGAAUUGACGGGGGCCCGCACAAGCGGUGGAGUAUGUGGUUUAAUUCGACGCAACGCGAAGAACCUUACCAGGUCUUGACAU
rnacentral:rRNA from 1 species